ACACGACUACAUUAGAUACCCCUGUAGUCCUAGCCGUAAACGAUACUCGCUAGGUGUCGGCCACGGUGCGACCGUUGUCGGUGCCGUAGGGAAGCCGUGAAGCGAGCCACCGUGGGAAGUACGGCCGCAAGGCUAGAAACUUAAAGGAAUUGGCGGGGAGCACAACAACGGGUGGAGCUUGCGGUUUAAUUGGAUUCAACGCCGGAAAUCUUACCGGGACCGACAGCAACAUGAAGGCCAAGCUGAAGACUUUGCCGGAUUAGCUG
rnacentral:rRNA from 1 species